rnacentral:lncRNA from 1 species
AUCCAGCACCGCGGCCGCGCGACUGGUCGCUCCGCCGCCGCCUCCCGGGUGCUGUCGCCCGCCCAGCGGAGCAGGGGAAGCGCUGAGCCCACGCUGGCCCCGCUCCUCUCCGUUGCCGGGUCCGCUCCCACGGGCUCGGCCCCCAGACCCUCAGUGGCACCCACCCUGUGCGGCCCUCGUGUGGCCCCAGCCCCGCUCCCCGUCCCCGUUCCACAGACGCUGGGGCGCAGGGGCGGCUCCGCCCUGCCCUUCACCCGCACGGUAGAGGGGUCACGGCUCACCGCAGCCUCCGCCUCCGGGCUCCAGCGGUCCUCGCAGGCGCGCCCCACCACGCUCAGCUAAUUUUUUCUUAUUUUUUAUAGAGAUGCGGUCUCCUGAAAAGUAGCCACUCUUUUUUGUUUUGUUUUGUUUUGUUUGGGGGGCGGGGGACAGAGUCUUGCUCUUUCGCCAGGCUGGAGUGCAGUGGCGCGAUCUCGGCUCGGAAUCUCCACCUCCCGGGCUCAAGCGAUUCUCCCGUCUCAGCUUCCGGAGUAGCUGGGACUACAGGCGCGCGCCACCACGCCCGGUUAAUUUUUUUGUAUUUUAGUAGAGACAGGGUUUCACCAUGUUGGCCAGGAUGGUCUCGAUAUCCUGACCUCGUGAUCCGCCUUCCUCGGCCUCCCAAAGUGCUGGGAUUACAAGCGUGAGCCACGCGCCCGGCCUUUUUUUUUUUUUUUUUUUAAGAGACCGGCCCACUAUGUUGCCCAGGCAGAUCUCGAACUGCUGAGCUCAAGCGAUCCUCCCGCCUCCCCUCCCGAAGUGCUAGGAUUCCAGGUGUGGCCACCGCGCCCACCACUUCCUUGCCUCCUCUCCCAAGCUUGCCCUCCUGUCUCCUGCUUUCCCUUAGACAAACUCAUAUGAUCCUGGGCCCGCGCAGAUAAUCUGGCAUAAUCUCAAAAUCCUUAAUCCCAUCUCUGGGGCCACAAUUCAACCAACUACAAGCUUGAAUUUGGGGAAUGAGCCAUGGAGGUGUUGGGGAGAGCGUGUUCCUGGCAGUGCAAGAGCCAGGAGGCAGGAGACAGCCGUCUGCAGCAGCCCCACUCCCGCCCUCCAGGGGCUGUGCCUUCUCCUACAGGUGAGGACUCAGUGGGGCCGGGGCACUGUGCCCACCUGGAGUAUGCAGGUAGAGAAACCACAGGGCUGCGUGAUGACUGGAGGGACUGAUAGGAAAAGAGGACCAAGGGGUCCGGGGCCAGGUUGUGUGGGGCCUCGUGGGCCACCGAGGACUUGGCAUUGGCUAUGAGUGAGAUGGGAGCCCCAGGGAUCCAAUCUGACACCCCUUCCCAAGGGGCACUCAGUGGGCUGCGAGUGGCUUGUGAGGAGCUGGUGGCCGAGGCAGGAAGGGGAGGCAGGAGGGAGAUGCAAUUGUCCAGCUGGGAGGGUGGCUCAGCUGUAUAAGUGACCCCCCAGGAGGGCACCCCUCCACCAGCCCAGGCUCCAGGACUGAGGCGGGGGGGUUUGGACAGGCACCCAGGGGGGCCACAGUUCUGUGGCAGUGUGGGCACCAAGGCCUGGUCCCCCUGGCUUGGAGCCCCGCCCCCACAUGGCCAGUGUGUGCAGGGAUGAGGUCCUUCCUGUACUGCCAUGGCUUCCCCUGGGCCCACCCUCACCACCUGGCUCUGGCACAAGGACCUUUACAGCAGCUUUAUUUACCACUGCCCAAACGCAGAAACAACCGAUAUGUCGGCAGGUGAAUGGAAAAACUGUGGUACCUACAGACAAUGGAAUACUAUGCAGCUCUAAAAAGAAAUGAGGCCAGGCACAGUGGCUCAUGCCCGUAAUCCUAACGCUUUGGGAGGCCAGGAGGGCGGAUCACUUAAGGCCAGGAGUUUGAGACCAGCCUGGCCAGCGUGGCAAAACCCGUCUCUAAAAAUACAAAAAUCUCUCUCCCUCUCCCUCUCGCUCUCGCUCUCGCUCUCGCUCUCCCUCCCCCUCCCCCUCUCGCUCUCGCUCUCCCCACGGUCUCCCUCUCCCUCUCUUUCCACGGUCUCCCUCUGAUGCCGAGCGGAAGCUGGACGGUACUGCUGCCAUCUCGGCUCACUGCAACCUCCCUGCCUGAUUCUCCUGCCUCAGCCUGCCGAGUGCCUGCGAUUGCAGGCGCGCGCCGCCACGCCUGACUGGUUUUCCUAUUUUUUUGGUGGAGAUGGGGUUUCGCUGUGUUGGCGGGGCUGGUCUCCAGCUCCUAACCGCGAGUGAUCCGCCAGCCUCCGCCUCCCGAGGCGCCGGGAUUGCAGACGGGAGUCUCGUUCACUCAGUGCUCAAUGGUGCCCAGGCUGGAGUGCAGUGGCGUGAUCUCGGCUCGCUACAACCUCCACCUCCCACCCGCCUGCCUUGGCCCCCCCAAAGUGCUGAGAUUGCAGCCUCUGCCCGGCCGCCACCCCGUCUGGGAAGUGAGGAGCUUCUCUGCCUGGCCGCCCAUCGUCUGGGAUGUGAGGAGCCCCUCUGCCUGGCUGCCCAGUCUGGAAAGUGAGGAGCGUCUCUGCCCGGCCGCCCAUCGUCUGAGAUGUGGGGAGCACCUCUGCCCUGCCGCCCCGUCUGGGAUGCGAGGAGCGUCUCUGCCCGGCUGCCCCGUCUGAGAAGUGAGGAGCCCCUCUGCCUGCCAACCGCCCCGUCUGGGAAGUGAGGAGCGUCUCCGCCCGGCAGCCACCCCGUCCUGGAGGGAGGUGGGGGUCAGCCCCCACCAGGCCAGCCACCCCGUCAGGGAGGUGAGGGGCGCCUCUGCCCGGCCGCCCCUACUGGGAAGUGAGGAGCCCCCUCUGCCCGGCCACCACCCCGUCUGGGAGGUGUACCCAACAGCUCAUUGAGAACGGGCCAUGAUGACAAUGGCGGUUUUGUGGAAUACAAAGGGGGGAAGGUGGGGAAAAGAUUGAGAAAUCAGAUGGUUGCCGUGUCUGUGUAGAAAGAGGUAGACAUGGGAGACUUUUCAUUUUGUUCUGUACUAAGAAAA